rnacentral:rRNA from 1 species
UACGUAGGGUGCAAGCGUUGUCCGGAAUUAUUGGGCGUAAAGAGCUCGUAGGCGGUUUGUCGCGUCUGCUGUGAAAACUCGGGGCUUAACCCCGGGCCUGCAGUGGGUACGGGCAGACUAGAGUGCGGUAGGGGAGACUGGAAUUCCUGGUGUAGCGGUGGAAUGCGCAGAUAUCAGGAGGAACACCGGUGGCGAAGGCGGGUCUCUGGGCCGUAACUGACGCUGAGGAGCGAAAGCAUGGGGAGCGAACAGG